ACCUGAUGGGUUCAGUUAGCGAAGCAUGUGACUCUUGAUCUCAGGGUUGUGGGUUUGAGUCCCACAUUGGGUG
rnacentral:tRNA from 1 species